AUUGAACGCUGGCGGCAGGCCUAACACAUGCAAGUCGAACGAGUGGCGGACGGGUGAGUAAUGACGGGGAAACUGCCUGAUGGAGGGGGAUAACUACUGGAAACGGUAGCUAAUACCGCAUACCAUCGGAUGUGCCCAGAUGGGAUUAGCUAGUAGGGGGGGUAAAGGCUCACCUAGGCGACGAGCCCUAGCUGGUCUGAGAGGAUGACCAGCCACACUGGAACUGAGACACGGUCCAGACUCCGACGUGAGGCAGCAGUGGGGAAUAAUGCACAAUGGGCGCAAGCCUGAUACAGCCAUGCCGCGUGUAUGAAGAAGGCCUUCGGGUUGUAAAGUACUUUCAUCAGGGAGGCGUUACCCGCAGAAGAAGCACCGGCUAACUCCGUGCCAGCAGCCGCGGUAAUUC
rnacentral:rRNA from 1 species